rnacentral:lncRNA from 1 species
UAUUUUGAUAUUUUUUUAUUUUUACCAAUACUUAUAAUUUUAUAAUUCAAGUUUUAUUAUUUAUUUACUAGUAAUUUUAAAAAAUAAAAAUUAAAUUAAAAUUUAAAAUGGGGAAAUGGGUAGGGGAUGGGGAUUCCACCUCAUCUCCGUCCCCUCCCCGAAUAAGAAAUUGGGUAAAAAAAUUUCUCCGUCCUUUCCCCGAAUAAGAAAUUGGGUAUGAAAUUAUCCUCAUAUCCUCCCUGAAUAGGGAAAAUCCCCAAGAGUACCCGUCCCCGUGGGGAUUUUUGCCAUCCCUAAUCCCCACCCACUCCCCCCCCCCCCAAAUGAGUUAUGAAAAAUCAAGUUGAUGGAAUAUCUUUCCUUCUCGAUUUAAACUUAAUCAUGUCUUGUUUGUCAACUUAAUCAUCUAAUUGCAAAUUACAUGAACAUGGAUUAAAUAAGAUUAAUGCUGAUUGCAACUUAGCUGAAGUCCACAUGUACGUUAAAAAUCAGUAGGAGUAGGAGGUUUGGUAUUACGUAUAAUCAAAUUUGCAAGUUUCCUAAGCAGAAGAGAAAAUUUACAUUGAUUUUGUCUUGGGUGGUUAUACCCAAAGUUAAUCAAAGGUUGACUAAAUAAAUUGUCUUUAAAUAAUAAGAAAUCUUGUAAUUAAUUUUUCAAAUUAAAUUAUGAUUAAUCUGCUAGUAAAUUAUUAUUAUUUAAAUAGCAGCCAUGCUUAUUAAAUGGAAGUGAAAUGGGCCGUUGUCCAUCUUUUGCAUCUCGUUUUUCAAACAACUCUCCAUUCAAUUCAAAGGUCCUACCAAUACAAGUUGUGGAAAUAAUUGGGCCUUAAAGAUUUUGUUUUUUUAUAUGUAUGCUAUAACGUAACGGCACAACAUUUAAGCAUGAUUUUACUGCGUCUGCACGGCGGUCCUGGUGGAUUGGGACCAUUAUUAAAUGUUGACAAUUUGUGUCGACAUUUGGGGAUUAUUCUGUAAUUUCAACUUCACCGUGUGAAUAAAUAUAUGCUACUAGUACAAAAGAAUGUGAAAUACUACCAACAUUGGAUGCAUCAUGCAUGUGAGCUCGUAAGUUUGCAUUUAAAGAUACUAGCAUCACAUACAUCACUCAUAAGUUAUCAAUAAAUAAAUUUUAAUAUUUGUGUCGUUGAUGUGCGGGUGGUAAAAUAAUAAUUUUCAAUUAAAAAUAGCUGGUUAUAUUAAAAUCAGAGAUAAAUUAAAAAAUUAAAAUUAAAAUCAGAGAUAAAUUAAAAAAUAAAAAGACACAAGUUUAAUAUAGUAUAUUUUACCUUAUAGUAUACUAAAAUUUGUAUUCUUUUAUCUUUUAACUUAUCCUUAAUUUUAAUAUGGUUGGAAAUCUCUAAUUACAACUCUCUCUCCCCCUAUAUGUGUGUGUGUGUGUGUGUGGAGACAGAUUCAAGGGAUACAAUAUUAAAGAUAAUUUUAGGCAUAAUUUUUAACCAUUAGAUAAUUUAGAUUGAGACCAAAUAAACUGUGAAGAUUAGAUAUAUGAUUUAAUCAUAUUUCUUAAUUAGUUUUCUCUUUCUUAUUAAAACUCUCUCACACAUUUUACCCCUCUUUUUUUUCUUGUCCUAAAUUACAAUUUUUUUUUCCAUUUUACCCGUUUUUUUUUUUUUUGGUCCUAAGUCCCAUUUUUUUUUCUUCUCUUCCACCACUCGUUUCUGUACGACUCUUGAACUCAUGCUUAUGAUUAUAAUCAAGUCUUUUUUUCCCCCAAUAACCAAGAGUAUGAAUAAUCACUAGGUUUCCCCUUGGCUUUACUGGUCGAUUGUUGUUUGAAUAUUUAGGGUUUGUUUGGGAUUAAUGUUAGACAGCUAUAUCUUAGAAGUUACCGCAUUGAAGUGUUUGGUUAGUUGUUGUAGUUUAGAAGUUACGUUGAUAUAAUUUUAUACUUGUGUGAUGAAAGUUCUAUUA